GGAAUAUUGGACAAUGGGCGCAAGCCUGAUCCAGCCAUGCCGCGUGCAGGAUGACGGUCCUAUGGAUUGUAAACUGCUUUUAUACAGGAAGAAACAGUUCUACGUGUAGAACCUUGACGGUACUGUAAGAAUAAGGAUCGGCUAACUCCGUGCCAGCAGCCGCGGUAAUACGGAGGAUCCAAGCGUUAUCCGGAAUCAUUGGGUUUAAAGGGUCCGUAGGCGGUUUAAUAAGUCAGUGGUGAAAGCCCAUCGCUCAACGGUGGAACGGCCAUUGAUACUGUUAGACUUGAAUUAUUAGGAAGUAACUAGAAUAUGUAGUGUAGCGGUGAAAUGCUUAGAGAUUACAUGGAAUACCAAUUGCGAAGGCAGGUUACUACUAAUUGAUUGACGCUGAUGGACGAAAGCGUGGGUAGCGAACAGGAUUAGAUACCCGAG
rnacentral:rRNA from 1 species